UACGUAGGGUGCAAGCGUUGUCCGGAAUUAUUGGGCGUAAAGAGCUUGUAGGCGGUUUGUCGCGUCUGCUGUGAAAUUUCGGGGCUCAACCCCGAACUUGCAGUGGGUACGGGCAGACUAGAGUGUGGUAGGGGAGACUGGAAUUCCAGGUGUAGCGGUGAAAUGCGUAGAUAUCUGGAGGAACACCGGUGGCGAAGGCGGGUCUCUGGGCCGGAUACUGACGCUGAGGUGCGAAAGCGUGGGGAGCAACAGG
rnacentral:rRNA from 1 species